rnacentral:lncRNA from 1 species
CGGAUCUCGCGAUGUUUCGGGGCAGCUUUGGUGUCAUCAAGUGUGAAAAGCCCUGGACUUUACACAUCUAGUAUGAUCGGGAGUCUGAGUACCAGAUGCUGGUCAGGACCUGUUAUGCUGGGUCUCAGAAUGCGGAAACCCUCCUUGUCCGAGGUGGAACAGUUUGUCCUUGAGUCAGGCCGGGAGUCCUGAGUGACUCUUUUGAUUUGAUCCUGUUUCCCUCAGACCUGAGAUGGGGGCCUCACUGUAUUGCCCAGGCUGGUCUUGAACUCCUGAGCUCAAGUGAUCGUCUUGCUUCAGCCUUCCAAAAUGAUGGUGAAGCUGCAUCAUUGUCUGGGGUAAAUACCUGAGGUUCGUUGUCUCACGCCAAGGGAAUCAAGGAUGUGGACACACAAGAAGUGAGUUUAAGAGCAGAGGUUUAAUAGGCAAAAGAGAAAAGAGAAUAGCUCUAGCUCCCGCAGAGAGAAAAGGGCUCCCAAGUAGGACUUCCAGUCCGUUGCGA